rnacentral:rRNA from 1 species
AUUGAACGCUGGCGGCAUGCUUAACACAUGCAGGUCGAACGGUAACAGGCCCUUCGGGUGCUGACGAGUGGCGGACGGGUGAGUAACGCUUAGGAAUCUACCUAGUAGUGGGGGAUAACCCGGGGAAACUCGGGCUAAUACCGCGUACGCCCUACGGGGGAAAGCGGGGGACUUUCGGGCCUCGCGCUAUUAGAUGAGCCUAAGUCCGAUUAGCUAGUUGGUAGGGUAAUGGCUUACCAAGGCGACGAUCGGUAGCUGGUCUGAGAGGACGACCAGCCACACUGGGACUGAGACACGGCCCAGACUCCUACGGGAGGCAGCAGUGGGGAAUAUUGGACAAUGGGCGCAAGCCUGAUCCAGCGAUGCCGCGUGUGUG